GACGAACGCUGGCGGCGUGCUUAACACAUGCAAGUCGAACGGAAAGGCCCCUUUGGGGGUACUCGAGUGGCGAACGGGUGAGUAACACGUGAGUAACCUGCCCUUGACUUCGGGAUAACUUCAGGAAACUGGGGCUAAUACCGGAUAGGAAUCCUUGCUGCAUGGUGGGGGUUGGAAAGCUUCGGCGGUUUUGGAUGGACUCGCGGCUUAUCAGCUUGUUGGUGGGGUAGAGGCUUACCAAGGCUUUGACGGGUAGCCGGCCUGAGAGGGCGACCGGCCACAUUGGGACUGAGAUACGGCCCAGACUCCUACGGGAGGCAGCAGUGGGGAAUAUUGCACAAUGGGCGGAAGCCUGAUGCAGCAACGCCGCGUGCGGGAUGACGGCCUUCGGGUUGUAAACCGCUUUCAGCAGGGGCGAAGCUUGUGGUGACGGUACCUGCAGAAGAAGCACCGGCUAACUACGUG
rnacentral:rRNA from 1 species